UACGUAGGGUCCGAGCGUUGUCCGGAAUUACUGGGCGUAAAGAGCUCGUAGGUGGUUUGUCGCGUUGUCCGUGAAAACUCACAGCUUAACUGUGGGCGUGCGGGCGAUACGGGCAGACUGGAGUACUGCAGGGGAGAACGGAAUUCCUGGUGUAGCGGUGAAAUGCGCAGAUAUCAGGAGGAACACCGGUGGCGAAGGCGGCAUUCUGGACCGACAUUGACGCUGAGGAGCGAAAGCCAGGGGAGCAAACGGG
rnacentral:rRNA from 1 species